rnacentral:rRNA from 1 species
AACGAACGCUGGCGGCAUGCCUAACACAUGCAAGUCGAACGAGACCUUCGGGUCUAGUGGCGCACGGGUGCGUAACGCGUGGGAACCUGCCCUUAGGUUCGGAAUAACUCCCCGAAAGGGGUGCUAAUACCGGAUAAUGUCUUCGGACCAAAGAUUUAUCGCCUUUGGAUGGGCCCGCGUUGGAUUAGCUAGUUGGUAGGGUAAAAGCCUACCAAGGCGACGAUCCAUAGCUGGUCUGAGAGGAUGAUCAGCCACACUGGGACUGAGACACGGCCCAGACUGCUAAGGGAGGGAGAAGUAGGGAAACUGCGGGAAUGGGCGAAAGAGGGAAGGAGCAAAGCGGCGUGGGUGAUGAAGGUCUACGGACGGUAAAACUCGAGUAGUAGGGAAGAAAAAAUGUGUGAGUAAAAAUGCACGUCAUGAAGGUACCUAAUCAGAAAGCCACGGCUAACUACGGG